rnacentral:rRNA from 1 species
AACUUUCAGCAACGGAUCUCUUGGCUCUCGCAUCGAUGAAGAACGCAGCGAAAUGCGAUAAGUAAUGUGAAUUGCAGAAUUCAGUGAAUCAUCGAAUCUUUGAACGCACCUUGCACUCCUUGGUAUUCCGAGGAGCAUGCCUGUUUGAGUGUCAGU